rnacentral:misc_RNA from 1 species
AAAAAAACAAAAAAGAGAUUUGAUUAUGGAGUUAAUUAUGUUGAGGAGCCCUGACAUGUUUGUGUGGGAGAGAGCAAAAUGUUAUCUGAUAACACAUCCAAAAUAGUGCUAAUAAUAGAACAUCAGAUUUAAUGUUAAUUUGAGCUCAAGAAUGAGUACUUGUGUAAUUAUGGUAUAUGUUGAUGGUAAUAACUCUAACCCUAUAUUUGGAUCAUGGUGUGGAUGGUUUCAUAUUGUAUAGUUACUCUAUAUGUUUG